CGUGUCAGUGCCUCUCACUGCAACGAUACCUGAAGCGGGAGUUUACUAUUCACCUGAGGAUUCAUGAACGGUUUUUCAUCGACUUAUCUUUGAUUUAUUUGAAGGAAAAGACCCUGAUGGAUAAAAGAUGGAUAUUUUUUUCCUGGAGAAGCUAAAACAAUGUAACUUUGAGGUUCUGAUACCAGCUUUUACAAAGUUAUUUACAGAGUUCACCAGACUUCUCUGUGUUAUUUCCUGACCAUGCCGAAAAGCUAUUUGAAACUUGGGCAUUGCAUUUUCCAGA